CUGGCGGCGUGCUUCAUACAUGCAAGUCGAACGAGAAGUCGACCUCGGGUGAUGGAAAGUGGCGGACGGGUGAGUAAUGUGUAGAGAAUCUGCCCUUAGUGGGGGACGAACAGUUGGAAACGACUGCUAAUACCCCAUAUGCGCGUAGCUGAGAUGCUAUUCGUGAAAACUCCGGUGCUAAAGGAUGAGUCUGCAUCUGAUUAGCUAGUUGGCGGUGUAAUGGACCACCAAGGCGACGAUCAGUAGCUGGUUUGAGAGGAUGAUCAGCCACAAUGGGACUGAGACACGGCCCAUACUCCUACGGGAGGCAGCAGUGGGGAAUAUUGCACAAUGGGGGAAACCCUGAUGCCAGCGACGCCGCGUGAGUGAAGAAGUAUUUCGGUAUGUAAAGCUCUAUCAGCAGGGAAGAAAAUGACGGUACCUGACUAAGAAGCCCCGGCUAACUACGUGCCAGCCGCCGC
rnacentral:rRNA from 1 species